AAGGAGCUGAGGACGGAGAAGGACUUUGUGAAGUUCGAAGCCGCCUUCUCCCCGAAGCCCCUGUUCU
rnacentral:precursor_RNA from 1 species